UUUCCCAUCCCAAUAAGAAGAAGGAAGAAAGGAUAAAGAAGAGGCAACAUGCACCAAAAGUUGCCCAAUGUCACUUCUGCUUACAUCGUAUUGGCUGGAAUUUACUAAUAUGGCCACAUCUAGCUCUCAAGGAAGACUGAGAAAUGUAGUCUUUAUGCCAGCAUCCACAGGUCCAGCUAAAAUUUCUGCUAUUAGGGGAAAAAGUGAUAUUGGAGAAGAGCUGCUAAGUGGUACAACUGGGAUAAGAACCCAGCGCUGAGGGACUCCCGAGACCCUACUCCGUCAAGAACAGGUUUUAUCGCCUCCUCUGGAAGAGAGAACGCAGAGCCAUCAGCCUUCUCCGAUAAGAGUUGCGAGUUUCUCUUCUUGUGACAGUCAUGUCUCUGCCUCCUUAAAACCCCUCUUGAAAAGCCUGUCGAAGGAAGUGUCUCCAAAAAG